UACAGAGGGUGCAAGCGUUGUCCGGAAUCACUGGGCGUAAAGGGCGCGUAGGUGGCCUGAUAAGUAGGAGGUGAAAUCCUGGGGCUUAACCUCAGGGCUGCCUUCUAGACUGUCCGGCUCGAGCACAGUAGAGGCAGGUGGAAUUCCCGGUGUAGCGGUGGAAUGCGUAGAGAUCGGGAAGAACAUCGGUGGCGAAGGCGGCGAUCUGGGUCGAUACUGACGCUGAGGUGCGAAAGCGUGGGGAGCAAACAGG
rnacentral:rRNA from 1 species